UUACUUGAGCAAGUAUAGUGCAUUAAGUUUAGAUCUUAAAUAGAUGGGGUAGAUUCCGUAAGUAAAA
rnacentral:tRNA from 1 species